rnacentral:rRNA from 1 species
UACGAAGGGGGCUAGCGUUGCUCGGAAUCACUGGGCGUAAAGCGCACGUAGGCGGAUUGCUAAGUCAGGGGUGAAAUCCUGGAGCUCAACUCCAGAACUGCCUUUGAUACUGGCAAUCUCGAGUCCGGGAGAGGUGAGUGGAACUGCGAGUGUAGAGGUGAAAUUCGUAGAUAUUCGCAAGAACACCAGUGGCGAAGGCGGCUCACUGGCCCGGUACUGACGCUGAGGUGCGAAAGCGUGGGGGGCAAACAGG